AUGAAAUAGGUUAUUCCUUUUACAGAACCUAUUCCUUUUACAGUACCUGUUCAUUUUACAGUACCUUGAUAGCCAAAUUCUUAUGGAUGAAUAUCAAAGCAAUUUUGAUUUAGAUGAAGAAAUAACUUCUACAAGUCAAAAAAAAUAGAAGUUGGGGCACAAUUUGAAUCAUUUAAUGAUUUGCAAGAAGCUAUAGAUAAAUAUGAAAAUCUAGUGUUUACAAAUUACCAUAUAGCAACAUGUACCAAGCUUGGUAAUUUUGAUGAAAACAUUAUUCAAACAAUACAAUACAAAUAUAUACGUUAUGUUUGUAUACAUGGAGGAAGACACUUUAAAAGUCGUGGGAAAGGAAAACGACUUACCCAAAUUUUACAACUAAAUUGCCCAAACAGCUUUUCAGAAAAGCACAUAAUAAUAGGGGAUCUACAUAGGCUAUAGGUUUCCAAAAUGAAUAGUGGGCAUAAUCAUGAUUUGGGUAUAUAUUUUUAAGAAAU